rnacentral:lncRNA from 1 species
UGGAGAACAUGUCUAGCUACAGGAAAAACAAAUGGAUUGUUGAAGGCCGACUCCGGAGGUAGGGGCAGGACAGAGUAGAACCCAGAGGGAGGGUGAGGCAUUAGCCAGGGCUCUGGAAAAUGCAAAUUUCAAGUGUUUCUUUUUUGGCAUUAUAUUAUUCUUCACCAGAGUCUUCUCCUAAUCUCUAUUUCUUAAGACUGAAAACUGCCCUAGCCAAGCGAACUGGGCGGCCUGAAGUUAUGAUGGAAGGGGUAGAUGACAGCCUGGGACGGAGGCGCAGCUCUCGGAUCAUGGAGGAGACCAGUGGCAUAGAAGAGGAGGAAGAGGAGGAAAAUACAGUAGCUGUUCAUGGCCGCAGGGGUCGAAGAGAUGGGGAGGUGCAGACCAAAGUGGAAGGAGAGGGGGUUGGAAAGUUCACUUUUUCGUUUUUGGAUCUGGCAGCUCUCCUUUUCUCAUUAUCUGCUCGUCUCUGUGCAG